UGAGAACUUUGAAGACUGAAGUGAGAAAGGGUUCCGCGUGAAGUGCAUUGCGACGCGGGUUAGCCGCUCCUAAAAGAUAGGGUAGUUCCGUAUUAAGAGUGGGCAAUAGAAGGGGCUGGCGCUUCGGCGCGCGGCCUCUUCACGACCCUGCGUCGUUCCAAUAUUGCCCGGCCUAUUGAAAGGGAAACCGGUUAAUAUUCCGGUGCUUGGAUUAGGGAUAUUUUUGCGGCGACGCAAACGAACCUCGAGACGCGAGCGCUGCCCCCAGGAAGAGUUCUCUGUUCUUUUUAACAGUCAUUAGCACGAAAACGCUGAUGACCGCGGAAUCAGUUUGUCUGGAGAAGCGGUCAAAAGACUGGAAAAGCAUUCCGACUUUUGGGGUGUCUGGUGUGGCAGCGAUCGUCCAUGAAAAUCGAGGGGAGAGAAUUAUUCUCCUGCCAAGGCGUACCCAUAACCGCAUCAGGUUCUCAAGGUUAAAAGCCUCUAGUGUUUAGAAUAAUGUGGGUAAGGGAAGUCGGCAAAAUAGA
rnacentral:rRNA from 1 species